AUUGAACGCUGGCGGCAUGCCUUACACAUGCAAGUCGAACGGUAACAGAUCUUCGGAUGCUGACGAGUGGCGAACGGGUGAGUAAUACAUCGGAACGUGCCUAGUAGUGGGGGAUAACUACUCGAAAGAGUGGCUAAUACCGCAUGAGAUCUACGGUUGAAAGCAGGGGAUUGCAAGACCUUGUGCUACUAGAGCGGCCGAUGGCAGAUUAGGUAGUUGGUGGGAUAAAAGCUUACCAAGCCGACGAUCUGUAGCUGGUCUGAGAGGACGAUCAGCCACACUGGGACUGAGACACGGCCCAGACUCCUACGGGAGGCAGCAGUGGGGAAUUUUGGACAAUGGGCGCAAGCCUGAUCCAGCAAUGCCGCGUGCAGGAUGAAGGCCUUCGGGUUGUAAACUGCUUUUGUACGGAACGAAAAGCCCUGGGUUAAUACCCUGGGGUCAUGACGGUACCGUAAGAAUAAGCACCGGCUAACUACGUGCCAGCCGCCGCAGUAAUAC
rnacentral:rRNA from 1 species